AGUGAACGCUGGCGGUAGGCCUAACACAUGCAAGUCGAACGGCAGCACAGUAAGAGCUUGCUCUUACGGGUGGCGAGUGGCGGACGGGUGAGGAAUACAUCGGAAUCUACUUUUUCGUGGGGGAUAACGUAGGGAAACUUACGCUAAUACCGCAUACGACCUACGGGUGAAAGCAGGGGAUCUUCGGACCUUGCGCGACUGAAUGAGCCGAUGUCGGAUUAGCUAGUUGGCGGGGUAAAGGCCCACCAAGGCGACGAUCCGUAGAUGGUCUGAGAGGAUGAUCAGCCACACUGGAACUGAGACACGGUCCAGACUCCUACGGGAGGCAGCAGUGGGGAAUAUUGGACAAUGGGCGCAAGCCUGAUCCAGCCAUGCCGCGUGGGUGAAGAAGGCCUUCGGGUUGUAAAGCCCUUUUGUUGGGAAAGAAAAGCAGCAGGUUAAUACCCCGCUGUUCUGACGGUACCCAAAGAAUAAGCACCGGCUAACUUCGUG
rnacentral:rRNA from 1 species